UACGAAGGGGGCUAGCGUUGCUCGGAAUGACUGGGCGUAAAGGGCGCGUAGGCGGAUGGCACAGUCAGAUGUGAAAUUCCCGGGCUUAACCUGGGGGCUGCAUUUGAUACGUGUUGUCUAGAGUGAGGAAGAGGGUUGUGGAAUUCCCAGUGUAGAGGUGAAAUCGUAGAUAUUGGGAAGAACACCGGUGGCGAAGGCGGCAACCUGGUCCUUGACUGACGCUGAGGCGCGAAAGCGUGGGGAGCAAACAGG
rnacentral:rRNA from 1 species